rnacentral:rRNA from 1 species
ACGGCUCAGUAACACGUGGAUAACCUGCCCUUGGGUCUGGCAUAACCCCGGGAAACUGGGGAUAAUUCCGGAUAACGCAUAUGUGCUGGAAUGCUUUAUGCGUAAAAUGGAUUCGUCCGCCCAAGGAUGGGUCUGCGGCCUAUCAGGUAGUAGUGGGUGUAAUGUACCUACUAGCCGACAACGGGUACGGGUUGUGAGAGCAAGAGCCCGGAGAUGGAUUCUGAGACAUGAAUCCAGGCCCUACGGGGCGCAGCAGGCGCGAAAACUUUACAAUGCGGGAAACCGUGAUAAGGGGACACCGAGUGUCAGCAUCAUAUGCUGGCUGUCCAGGUGUGUAAAAUACACCUGUUAGCAAGGGCCGGGCAAGACCGGUGCCAGCCGCCGCGGUAACACCGGCGGCCCGAGUGGUGAUCGUGAUUAUUGGGUCUAAAGGGUCCGUAGCCGGUUUGGUCAGUCCUCCGGGAAAUCUGAUAGCUCAACUAUUAGGCUAUCGGGGGAUACUACCAGACUUGGAACCGGGAGAGGUAAGAGGUACUACAGGGGUAGGAGUGAAAUCUUGUAAUCCCUGUGGGACCACCUGUGGCGAAGGCGUCUUACCAGAACGGGUUCGACGGUGAGGGACGAAAGCUGGGGGCACGAACCGGAUUAGAUACCCGGGUAGUCCCAGCCGUAAACGAUGCUCGCUAGGUGUCAGGCAUGGCGCGACCGUGUCUGGUGCCGCAGGGAAGCCGUGAAGCGAGCCACCUGGGAAGUACGGCCGCAAGGCUGAAACUUAAAGGAAUUGGCGGGGGAGCACAAU